UACGUAGGUGGCAAGCGUUGUCCGGAAUUAUUGGGCGUAAAGAGCUCGUAGGCGGUGUGUCGCGUCGGCCGUGAAAACCUGGGGCUUAACUCUGGGCGUGCGGUCGAUACGGGCAUCACUAGAGUUCGGCAGGGGAGACUGGAAUUCCUGGUGUAGCGGUGAAAUGCGCAGAUAUCAGGAGGAACACCGGUGGCGAAGGCGGGUCUCUGGGCCGAAACUGACGCUGAGGAGCGAAAGCGUGGGUAGCAAACGGG
rnacentral:rRNA from 1 species